rnacentral:rRNA from 1 species
UACGGGGGGGGCAAGCGUUGUUCGGAAUUACUGGGCGUAAAGGGCGCGUAGGCGGCCUGCUAAGUCGGAUGUGAAAUCCCUCGGCUCAACCGAGGAACUGCAUCCGAUACUGGCGGGCUUGAAUCCGGGAGAGGGAUGUGGAAUUCCAGGUGUAGCGGUGAAAUGCGUAGAUAUCGGAAGGAACACCAGUGGCGAAGGCGGCUUCCUGGACUAAUACUGACGCUGAGGUGCGAAAGCGUGGGGAGCAAACAGG